rnacentral:misc_RNA from 1 species
GUAUUGUAUUGCGUUAAACGCUGCAUACAUUCCAUGAGACUUUAUUACGGUGUGUGUGUAAAGACGUAGAACCGUGGACAAAGAGGACAGAGGCCCUCCAGGCCAUAGAACUACAGAGGGUGCACAGGUGUGAGUGGAUGUGUAAACAGAGCGUGCACAUGCCCCCAUUUGAGGACCAGCAACAACUCGUGUCGACAUUCGGUAAUGAUCCUUCCGCAGGUUCACCUACGGAAA